UCUCCAGCCUCCAGAGGGAGCACAGCCCUGCUGACACCCUGAUCUCAGACUUCAGGCCGCCAGGACUGCAAAGGAAUACAUUUCUGUUGCUUAAAGCCAUCACAUUUACGAGGAUUUGUUACAGCAGCCACAGGAAAUUAAUACGACAGGGAAGCAUGAAGAGAGGGAGUGGAAUGAGCAGAAGUAGGCACCUUAGCAUCAGAGGUCCUCUUCUAUGGGUGCCCUGGGGACUGAGGACUCCUUCAUCUUCCUACUGCUGCUUCCUCUGUGUUGAUAGAAGAGUCCUUUAUACUGCUGGACCUGGUG
rnacentral:lncRNA from 1 species